GCCGGGCACAGUGGCACAUGCCUGUAAUCCCAGCGGCUGGGGAGGCUGAGUCAGGAGGAUCGUGAGUUCAAAGCCAGCCUCAGCAACGGCCGGACGAUAAGCAACUCAGUGAGACCCUGUCUCUA
rnacentral:sRNA from 1 species